rnacentral:lncRNA from 1 species
ACAGUUUGACUUUCAAGUCGAAAGUCCAAAAAUGGAAUGGGCAGCCACAUCUUUGGACCACAUAUGGCCCAAAUCUGAUUAUAACCCGACCCAUUGCCUAUAAAGAAAUCGGCAAAAAUCCCCAAAUCAAUUCGACAAGAGAAAAUCCCUAAACCUUAUUACCAAGACGACGUCGCCGCUCGCACUACCGUAGCCGCCGUGGAACCUCUGUCGAGUUACUAAAGAGAAGGUAAACACUGGCGUUUACAAUGGAUAUCUAAUUGGUUGAAAAUUGCAUCUUCAUUUUUUUUCUUUCUAUUUCCAUACAUCGCACUCUGUAAAAUAUCAAAGUUUGCAUCUUUUUUCAAAAGUUGAUCGGAAACAAUCUGUAAAUGAAAUGGUUGGCCUGUAACUAAGAUUUAUUUCAUGCGACGAUCUUAAGAUUUAUGUAAUUUGUUUUCAUGGUUUUGGAAGGGAUGAAAUGCCUAAUAGAGUGAGUGAUAACAGUUGUGAAUUAUUUCAAUGGAGAUGUAUGAGUACAAGUCGGGAGAGUGAUGCAGGCCAAUAAAAAAAUCAAAACUUGGAAUUAAUCUGACCACAUGCUAAGCUUUUUUAUUUAUUCAAACAGUCGUGUUAAAAUCCUCGGUUCAAGGGUUUUUGGCGUUUGAGUUUUGGUGGUAGAGUUGUAUGAAAGCUCCUUUAGUUUUAUUAAUCACAUGGAGAAGGCUUGGCUAAUCACUAAGGUAAAUCUUGUUAUUGAUCUAUUUGAAAACUUCAUUUUAAAUUUUGUGGGGGAUAAGAUUGAUUCUCUGGGCUCCAACUUCCAAUUAUGUUAGUCACCUUCUUAGUGGAAUCUUGAUCUCCAGGAGCUACUAAAAAUUAGUGGAAGAAUUAUUCCUUCUGUUUAAGCUAUCUUCUUUGAAUUUAGUUUUAGACACUUCCUUAAUUAUGUCCUCAUUCAAAGUUUUCUAUUUCAAGAUUGGAUCACAUUUAUCUUAGGGAAACAUACACGUAACUAUGCCCUGGUGACACGUUUUAGGCAUCUAAAAGUUGAUGCCAAGAGUUGCCAUAGGGCUAUGUCCUGGUGAUGCAUUUUAGGCAUUUAAAAUUUGAUGCCAAGAGUUGCCAUAAGGUACAUCAAAGGGGAAGAACAUUACAUUAAGUGUCAUUGGUACAGAAGGGAAGGACAUUACUUUAAGUGCAUCAUGUCUUAAUUCCAAAUCAUGGUGUACGCAUAUAGUUGAGUUGAAGGUGUAUAAACUUUCUUUCUGCUAUCUUCCAUAGUCUUGCUAUAAUGUAUUUGAGGUUUGUGUAUACAUGCAUUGACAUACAUUUGAUUUCUAAUUGUGGUAUUGCUAUAAUGUAUUUGAGGUUUGUGUAUACAUGCAUUGACAUACAUUUGAUUUCUAAUUGUGGUAUUGCUAUAAUGUAUUUGAUGUUGGGAUUAAUUGACCACAUGGUGCCAAACUUUUUUCUUUCUUUAAGCACUCAUGUUAAAACCCUCGUUUCAAGCUCCUCUAGUUUUCUUAAUCACUUGCAGAAGGCUUCGCUAAUCUCUAAGGUAGAUCUUAUUAUGAUCCAUUUAAAAACUUCAUUUUAAACUUUGUCGGGCUUAGAUUGAUUUUCUCUGCUCCAGCCUCCACUUUUGAGUUUGAAUUUCAGUUAAAACACUUCGUUUGUAUGUAUAUAUGGAAGUUACCUUCCUAGUGGGGUUUUAUCUGUGCCUGGUCCAAUAGAAGGAUACAAGAAGUUAGGGUUAUAAACUUAAAUAUGGCCUGGGGAGUGGAAUAUUGAUCCCUAUUAACGACUAAAGUUUAGUGGUAGAAUUAUUCCUUAUGUUUAAGCUAUCUUCUUUGAAUUUAGUUUUAGAGACUUCCUUAAUUAUGCCCUCCUUCAAACUUUUCUAUUUCAAGAUUGGAUCAGAUUUAUCUUGAGCAACAAAACACUGGUAUUGCAGCCAGGAAAACGUAUAAACCAUAUUCUUGUGAACUUGGGCAUAUGAAUUUUAUGAAACGGGAAGAACGUUAUAUUAAGUGUCAUUGGCAGAGAAGGGGGAAGGAAAUUACUUUAAGUUCAUCAUGUCUUAUUACCAAAUCAUAGUGCACAAAUAAUUGACUUGGACAUGUUUAAACUUCAUUCAUGCUAUCUUUCCUGACUUACAAUGCAUUUGAUGAUUAAUCUUCAUUGACUUAGUUUUGCUUUCCAAAGGUCGUAUUGUUUAGCAAGCAAAUCGUACUGCUGUGAGUGAGCUUGUGGGCAUCUACAUGCAAGCCAUAUAGGACAGCAAACGAUGUGGUCAUCUACAGGCAAUUGCUUAUACGAUGGAUGGAGCUAUUUUGUUUAUUCUCCCCAAAUUUACAACAAAAUACGUAAACAUAUAUAUUUAAACAUUUACAACAACAAUCUGUACACCUUAGAAUAUGUAUAUGGCCAACCAUUUUCAUAAAGCAAAAACUAAAUAAAUUUAAAAAAUUCAAAAAUACCACACUGCUGGAUGGG